UGGGUGUGGGAAUCCCUGUGGACUUCCAAA
rnacentral:piRNA from 2 species